rnacentral:rRNA from 1 species
UACGGAGGGUGCGAGCGUUGUCCGGAAUCACUGGGCGUAAAGGGCGCGUAGGCGGCCGUGUAAGUCACUUGUGAAAUCCCGGGGCUCAACUCCGGGGCCGCAGGUGAGACUGCGUGGCUAGAGCACGGUAGAGGCGAGUGGAAUUCCCGGUGUAGCGGUGGAAUGCGUAGAUAUUAGGAAGAACACCGGUGGCGAAGGCGGCCCACUGGAUCGGUACUGACGCUGAGGUGCGAAAGCGUGGGGAGCAAACAGG